AUACGUAGGGGGCGAGCGUUGUCCGGAAUGAUUGGGCGUAAAGGGCGCGUAGGCGGCCCGGUAAGUCUGGAGUGAAAGUCCUGUUUUUAAGAUGGGAAUUGCUUUGGAUACUGUCGGGCUUGAGUGCAGGAGAGGUAAGUGGAAUUCCCAGUGUAGCGGUGAAAUGCGUAGAGACUGGGAGGAACACCAGUGGCGAAGGCGACUUACUGGACUGUAACUGACGCUGAGGCGCGAAAGUGUGGGGAGCAAACAGGAUUAGAUACCCUGCUAGUCCACACUGUAAACGAUGAAUGCUAGGUGUAGGGGGUAUCGACCCCUUCUGUGCCGCAGUCAACACAAUAAGCAUUCCGCCUGGGGAGUACGGCCGCAAGGUUGAAACUCAAAUGAAUUGACGGGG
rnacentral:rRNA from 1 species